UUCGCCAAAAUUGUGGCAAUCGUUUGCCAUUAAGGUUGGGGAUUUAAAGACGAGUUCUUCAAUAUUGGACUGAGUUUUGAUUAACAUAGCGAAGAAUCUAUCGUUUUCGUUAUCGAAUUACAGAAUUGUUUGAUUUCAUAAUGCCAUAUGAGCGUAUAAAAAGUUAUGAAAGGGACUUGGUUGAAAUGCAAACUAAUCUUAAGACAUGAAUGAGGUAUAAAAAGUUAUGAAAGGGACUUGGUUGAAAUGCAAACUAAUCUUAAGACAUGAAUGAGGUAU